ACACCCUACAAUAAAACUGUAUUGGAAAUGUGUUGAAUUACAUUAUAAUAACACCCUAUAAUAAAACUGUAUUGGAAAGGGUGUUGAAUAACACCCUAUAAUAAAACUGUAUUGGAAAGGGUGUUGAAUAACACCCUAUAAUAAAACUGUAUUGGAAAUGUGUUGAAUAACACCCUAUAGUAAAACUGUAUUGGAAAGGUGUUGAAUAACACCCUAUAAUAAAACUGUAUUGGAAAGGUGUUGAAUAACACCCUAUAAUAAAACUGUAUUGGAAAGGUGUUGAAUUACACCCUAUAAUAAAACUGUAUUGGAAAUGUGUUGAAUAACAGCUGAUAAUAAAACUGUAUUGGAAAGGGUGUUGAAUCACAUUAUAAUAACACCCUAUAAUAAAACUGUAUUGGAAAUGUGUUAAAUAACACCCUAUAAUAAAACGGUAUUGGAAAUGUGUUGAAUUACAUUAUAAUAACACCCUAUAAUAAAACUGUAUUGGAAAGGGUGUUGAAUUACAUUAUAAUAACACCCUAUAAUAAAACUGUAUUGGAAAGGGUGUUGAAUAACACCCUAUAAUAAAACUGUAUUGGAAAGGGUGUUGAAUAACACCCUAUAAUAAAACUGUAUUGGAAAUGUCUUUAAU
rnacentral:lncRNA from 1 species